rnacentral:rRNA from 1 species
UUGAGCCUACGGGAGGCAGCAGUGGGGAAUAUUGCACAAUGGGGGAAACCCUGAUGCGGCAACGCCGCGUGAGUGAAGAAGUCAUUCGUGAUGUAAAGCUCUAUCAGCAGGGAAGAAAAUGACGGUACCUGAGUAAGAAGCCCCGGCUAACUACGUGCCAGCAGCCGCGGUAAUACGUAGGUGGCAAGCGUUAUCCGGAUUUAUUGGGUGUAAAGGGCGUGUAGGCGGGAUUGCAAGUCAGAUGUGAAAACCACGGGCUCAACCUGUGGCCUGCAUUUGAAACUGUAGUUCUUGAGUGCUGGAGG